rnacentral:ncRNA from 1 species
CUUUAAACCAGCUCAUGGUUUAAGGCGGAAGGAG